AUGAGAACCUCCGGGGGCAAGAGGUUCGACCCGAGCGCAGCGAGAGAACGUUGCUUCAGCAACGGCCCGCAGGGCGAGCCACGCAGUGGCGAGUCAUCCUCUAUCACCGACCA
rnacentral:sRNA from 1 species